GACAGAGGGUGCAAACGUUGUUCGGAAUUACUGGGCGUAAAGCGCGUGUAGGCUGCUCCGCAAGUCGGAUGUGAAAGCCCUGGGCUCAACCUAGGAAGUGCAUUCGAUACUGCGGAGCUGGAGUCCUGGAGAGGAAGGCGGAAUUCUCGGUGUAGGAGGAUUGAAAUUCGUAGAUGAGAUCGGGACGGAACAGCCAGUAGGGCGGAAGGCGGCC
rnacentral:rRNA from 1 species